CUCAGGAUGAUGUAACUACUGAAACUAUGACUCUAUAAUAAACUGAGUGUGAAUAUAAAUGAACAGUAAGAAAAGUGUCUGUAUCAACACAAUCAAUCUCCAAUCAGACUCAAUCCCUUGUUUUCCCUUUGCCUCGUGGUCUUAAAUUAAAUGAUCUGGUCUCGAGACAUAUUCUUCACUGUGGAUAGAUUUAUGCAGAACUUUGUGCCGACUCAGCAGUAACAGAUUAAGUGUCAGUGUGAAUGUAACAGGAAAGGAAUGCUCAUCGCUCAUCAACGAUAUCUGCUCAGACUCAAAGGUUCAUGUGCUGCUCAGUCUCCUUGAUUCUAAUGAUCAACAUGAUGAAAGGCAGAGUGCUGCACGUGUCCGUGGUCCCUCGGCCAAGUGGACACGUCCACAUCGAGGACACAGUUCAACUGUGGCUCAGUGUUUCACAGUCACAGCAGAGGUCGGACAUGUUUUCAGGACCAGUACUGCAACUUAAAAAAUACAAAAAAAACAGGGUGAACAGGGUGAAGUAAUGAGGAGGGAAUGUAGUCUGGUGGAAAGAUUUCCUCAGAACACAGAAUGCUCAACAGAGAACUGAUCAUCCUUUAAGGAUGAGAUACGUGAAUCGUGAAAUCAUGAUCUUGUGGAAACAUUGCAACUGAAUGCAAAAAGUUGAAAAAGGAAAUUUCAGAUUAGAAGCUGCAUCAAAUAAAGGAUUAUAUUAUUGAUGGUUAUUCCAGACAGUGAAGCUGCAGUAACACAGACUCUUUUACAACUGAGAUGUUCAACACUGGACAGCUGAAGAACGGAAAAACCUCUGGUCUGGUGAAUCAGGAGGAAUUGGCAGGAUUCAGUGUAAACAACAAUUGGUUGUUGUGUUUCCUUGACUCACUUUGGGCACGUCCACCACGAUAAUGCACCUCAGUGAACUUCACUGGCUUUCCCAGUCACCAAAUCCUGAUUUAAAGUCUUUGGGGUGUAGUAGAACAGCAUCAUUCUAACCUGGAGACAAACCUGGAUCAUAUUGACACACAGUUGUGUUAUUGUUGGAAAAAGGGGUGACACAGCAGCAACAGUGCACUAACCACACCAUGGCAACGAUUCCUGGAAAUGAGAACAAAUCAUCACCGGACGCCACGGCGGUUAGGAUUCCUGGUUUUCACCCAGGCGGCCCGGGUUCGACUCCCGGUAUGGGAACUACCCUAGGGGGAGAGGCGGUGGACCAGUGGCACAAACUUGGACUAUGGGCUGAAAAGGUCUCUGGUUCGACUCCACGAAGAAAAACAACAAAAAGAUGAACCUGGAUUGAUCUGUCCAAAAAUCCAAGAGGAUUCUCCCUGACUUGUCUAGUGCCCCUGAGCAAGGCACCUUACU